CUGUGACUCCGAUGGCUCGGAGAGGUGUUGAUAUCAAAGUGAAAUUGCUUGAGUGACAUUAUUGAUGAAUUCUUGUAAAAAAUCUGCAAUAGUUGAAGUUUGUAUCGGUUGUGGAGGUAUUAGGAUUUAAGUAGCCUUAAGAUUUAUUGGCUGAGAAUAUGAUUAGUGUGUCUGAGGAGCGAUGGAAUGCUACUAUAAAUCUGCUUACUAACUUAACAGAUCAAGUGAUUAGUCUUCGAGAGCAAGUUACCAGAUUACGUUCGCCAGGGAUCUCACCAGUCACCCGAAGGUAUCAGUCGUCAGGACGGAACAACGUAAUCCGGAAGCGCCUGCCUUCGCACCGAGGCCGGAAUUGUCGUCACUAUCUCGACCAAUUGUUAUUAUGAAUGCUCCGUUGCCACCCAUGCCGAAAUAUGACGGUAAGACAAACAAAAAUGAUUUUUUCUCUGGUAUGGAACACUAUUUUGAAUAUAGUUAUUUGUUAGAAACUAAUAAAAGACCUGAGCUCAGACAGGACUCUGAAUUUUGCAGAGUCGUGUUAACCGUUAGGUUU
rnacentral:lncRNA from 1 species